UGGGGAAUAUUGCACAAUGGGCGCAAGCCUGAUGCAGCCAUGCCGCGUGUGUGAAGAAGGCCUUCGGGUUGUAAAGCACUUUCAGCGAGGAGGAAGGGUUCAGUGUUAAUAGCACUGUUCAUUGACGUUACUCGCAGAAGAAGCACCGGCUAACUCCGUGCCAGCAGCCGCGGUAAUACGGAGGGUGCAAGCGUUAAUCGGAAUUACUGGGCGUAAAGCGCACGCAGGCGGUUUGUUAAGUCAGAUGUGAAAUCCCCGCGCUUAACGUGGGAACUGCAUUUGAAACUGGCAAGCUAGAGUCUUGUAGAGGGGGGUAGAAUUCCAGGUGUAGCGGUGAAAUGCGUAGAGAUCUGGGGGAAUACCGGUGGCGAAGGCGGCCCCCUGGA
rnacentral:rRNA from 1 species